rnacentral:rRNA from 1 species
AUUGAACGCUAGCGGCAUGCCUUACACAUGCAAGUCGAACGAGUGGCGGACGGGUGAGUACUAUAUGGGAACGUGCCCAAUAGCGGGGGAUAACUACUCGAAACAGUGGCUAAUACCGCAUACUAUCGGCGCGGCCCAUAUGUGAUUAGCUAGUUGGUGGGGUAAAGGCUCACCAAGGCAACGAUCCUUAGCCGGUGUGAGAGGAUGACCAGCCACACUGGGACUGAGACACGGCCCAGACUCCUACGGGAGGCAGCAGUGGGGAAUUUUGGGCAAUGGGCGAAACCCUGAUCGAGCCACGCCGCGUGUAUGAGAAGGCCUUCGGGUUGUAAAGUACUGUUGGUAGAGAAGCGGUAUCUGCCGAAUAAGCACCGGCUAACUACGUGCCAGCAGCCGCGGUAAUUC